GACGAACGCUGGCGGCGUGCCUAAUACAUGCAAGUCGAACGCAGUGGGGACGGGUGAGUAACACGUGGGUAACCUCCCAUCAGAGGGGAUAACACUUGGAAACAGGUGCUAAACCGAUACUGAUGGAUGAACGCGCGGUGCAUUAGCUAGUUGGUGAGGUAACGGCUCACCAAGGCCACGAUGCAUAGCCGACCUGAGAUGGGAGUCGCCCCCACUGGGACUGGGACGCGGCCCAGACUCGUCCAAUACGACUCUAUAAAUAAUCUUCGGCAAUGAACGAAAGUCUGACCUAGCCACGCCGCGUGAGUGAAGAACAUUUUCGGAUCUUAAAACUCUGUUGUUAGAGAAGCGGUAUCUAACCAGAAAGCCACGGCUAACUACGUGCCAGCAGCCGCGGUAAUUC
rnacentral:rRNA from 1 species